rnacentral:rRNA from 1 species
AUUGAACGCUGGCGGCAGGCUUAACACAUGCAAGUCAAGCGAGCGGCGGACGCGCGAGUAAUGUCUGGGAAACUGCCUGCUGGAGCGGGAUACCUAAUGGAACCGGUAGCUAAUACCGCAUACCACCACAAGCACCAAGAUGGGAUUAGCUAGUAGGUGGCGUAAUGGCUCACCUAUGCGACGAUCCCUAGCUGGUCUCACCGGAUGACGCGCCACGUUGUGAGUGAGACACGGUCCAGACUCCUACGGGAGUGAGCAGUGGGGAAUAUUGUACAAUGGGCGCAAGCCUGAGGCAGCCAUGCCGCGUGUAUGAAGAAGGCGUUCGGGUUGUAAAGUACUGUGUGCGAGGAGGCGUUACUCGCAGAAUAAGCACCGGCUAACUCCGUGCCAGCAGCUGCGGGAAUUC